rnacentral:rRNA from 1 species
ACUCUGACCAGCCAUGCCGCGUGCAGGAAGACUUGCCCUCUGGGUUGUAAACUGCUUUUAUCCGGGAAUAAACCUCAUUACGUGUAUUGAGCUGAAUGUACCGGAAGAAUAAGGAUCGGCUAACUCCGUGCCAGCAGCCGCGGUAAUACGGAGGAUCCAAGCGUUAUCCGGAUUUAUUGGGUUUAAAGGGUGCGUAGGCGGCCUGUUAAGUCAGGGGUGAAAGACGGUAGCUCAACUAUCGCAGUGCCCUUGAUACUGAUGGGCUUGAAUGGACUAGAGGUAGGCGGAAUGAGACAAGUAGCGGUGAAAUGCAUAGAUAUGUCUCAGAACACCGAUUGCGAAGGCAGCUUACUAUGGUCUUAUUGACGCUGAGGCACGAAAGCGUGGGGAUCAAACAGGAUUAGAUACCCUGGUAGUCCACGCCCUAAACGAUGAACACUCGCUGUUGGCGAUACACAGUCAGCGGCUAAGCGAAAGCGUUAAGUGUUCCACCUGGGGAGUACGCCCGCAAGGGUGAAACUCAAAGGAAUUGACGGGGGCCCGCACAAGCGGAGGAGCAUGUGGUUUAAUUCGAUGAUACGCGAGGAACCUUACCCGGGCUUGAAAGUUAGUGAAUGAUCCAGAGAUGGAUCAG